rnacentral:rRNA from 1 species
GACGGAGGGUGCAAGCGUUAUCCGGAUUCAUUGGGCUUAAAGGGCGCGUAGGCGGGCUUGUAAGUCAGUGGUGAAAUCUCUCAGCUUAACUGAGAAACUGCCAUUGAUACUGCAGGUCUUGAGUACAGAUGAUGUUGGCGGAAUAUGACAUGUAGCGGUGAAAUGCAUAGAUAUGUCAUAGAACACCGAUUGCGAAGGCAGCUGACAAAACUGUAACUGACGCUGAGGCACGAAAGUGUGGGGAUCAAACAGG